GACGAACGCUGGCGGCGCGCCUAACACAUGCAAGUCGAACGGAGCUGAGAGAAGCUUGCUUUUCUUAGCUUAGUGGCGAACGGGUGAGUAACGCGCGAGUAACCUGCCCUGGAGUGGGGGACAACAGUUGGAAACGACUGCUAAUACCGCAUAAGCCCACGAUCCGGCAUCGGAUUGAGGGAAAAGGAUUUAUUCGCUUCAGGAUGGACUCGCGUCCAAUUAGCUAGUUGGUGAGGUAACGGCCCACCAAGGCGACGAUUGGUAGCCGGACUGAGAGGUUGAACGGCCACAUUGGGACUGAGACACGGCCCAGACUCCUACGGGAGGCAGCAGUGGGGGAUGUUGCACAAUGGGGGAAACCCUGAUGCAGCGACGCCGCGUGGAGGAAGAAGGUUUUCGGAUUGUAAACUCCUGUCGUUAGGGACGAUAAUGACGGUACCUAACAAGAAAGCACCGGCUAACUACGUG
rnacentral:rRNA from 1 species